CACGUGCCGGAGCCCCGCUCGCCGCUGCGGAGCCGGAGGAGCCGGACGGGGCCGCGGAGCCGGGCCGGGGCCGGGGGGCUGCGGCGGGGCCGGCGGCCGGCGGGGUGAAUUGCAGAAAGUGACUCCCAGAGCAUCUUGGCUGCAUGAACUCUUGAGCUGUCAAGGGACUGAGAGGCUUAUGAAGAGGUUCUGUCAGGCAAAACAGUGCUUAGCAAAGACACCGAGGAGGAGGGAAAAGGAGAAAGGGAGGGAGAGAGAGCUGAAACACUAACAAACCAUGAGAUCUAUCCGAUCUUUUGCUAAUGAUGACCGCCAUGUUAUGGUGAAACAUUCAACCAUUUAUCCAUCUCCAGAGGAACUUGAAGCUGUCCAGAACAUGGUAUCAACAGUAGAAUGUGCCCUUAAACAUGUCUCUGACUGGAUGGAUGAAAAGAACAAGUCUACGAAAUGUGAGGGUGAUGUGGAAGCAAAGGAGGAAGCUGCAGAAAGCAAUGCCAAGGAUCAAGGUGGUCGGACGUUGUGUGGUGUUAUGAGAAUUGGCUUGGUUGCAAAGGGCUUGCUGAUAAAAGAUGAUAUGGAUCUGGAGCUGGUUCUCAUGUGCAAAGAAAAACCCACAAAGACCUUGUUAUGUAUAGUUAAAGACAAUCUCCCAGCUCAAAUCCAGAAACUUACAGAAGAGAAGUAUCUCGUGGAGGAGCAUGUAAAUGAGGCAGCUAUUAUUAUUCGUAACACAAAGGAGCCCAAGCUAACUUUGAAGGUGAUACUUACAUCCCCUCUCAUUCGAGAUGAAGCAGAGAAGAAGGAAGGAGUAGAUAAUGUUGCGAUGAAAGAUCCUCCGGACUUAUUGGACAGGCAGAAAUGCCUGGAGGCCUUGGCGUCUCUGCGGCACGCCAAAUGGUUUCAGGCCAGGGCAAAUGGACUAAAAUCAUGUGUAAUUGUCCUUCGUAUUCUGCGGGAUUUGUGCAACAGAGUCCCCACAUGGGCACCACUGAAAGGAUGGCCACUCGAGCUUAUAUGUGAAAAAUCUAUAGGUACUUGUAAUAGACCUUUGGGCGCUGGGGAAGCAUUGCGACGAGUGAUGGAGUGUUUGGCGUCUGGAAUUCUGCUUCCCGGAGGCCCUGGUCUGCAUGACCCCUGUGAACGGGAGCCAACAGAUGCUUUGUCCUAUAUGACAGUUCAGCAAAAAGAAGCCAUUACACACAGUGCUCAGCACGCCCUCAGAUUAUCAGCCUUUGGUCAGAUCUAUAAGGUUUUGGAAAUGGAUCCCCUCCCAUCAAAUAAAUCAUUUCAGAAAUAUUCCUGGUCAGUAACUGACAAAGAAGCAUAUCCAUAUUACAAGGAAAUUUAUACCCUAGGUACAGGCUCGUCUGCUCUUAAGAGACCGUUUGAAGAUAGUGUCGGGGAUGAUAAAGAUCCAAAUAAAAAGAUGAAGCGUAAUCUAAGGAAAAUACUAGAUAGUAAAGCAAUAGAUCUCAUGAAUGCGCUGAUGAGGCUGAACCAAAUCAGGCCAGGGCUUCAGUAUAAGCUGCUGUCACAGUCUGGUCCAGUCCAUGCCCCAGUCUUCACAAUGUCUGUAGAUGUUGAUGGUACGACAUAUGAAGCAUCGGGACCUUCUAAGAAAACAGCCAAGCUCCAUGUGGCAGUGAAGGUUUUACAAGCGAUGGGGUAUCCAACUGGUUUUGAUGCAGAUGUGGAGUGUAUGAGUUCUGAUGAAAAAUCAGAUACAGAAGGUAAAAAUGAAACGACGUCUUCAAUCUCAAGCAAUAAUACUGGCAAUUCCACAGCUGACACCUCCGCUACCCUAGAGGUAAGAACUCAGGGUCCUAUACUCACAGCAAGUGGCAAAAACCCAGUGAUGGAGCUCAAUGAAAAAAGAAGAGGUCUGAAGUACGAGCUCAUCUCUGAGACAGGUGGAAGCCAUGAUAAGCGCUUUGUGAUGGAGGUAGAAGUAGAUGGGCAGAAGUUCAGAGGUGCAGGCCCAAAUAAGAAAGUAGCAAAAGCAAGUGCUGCAUUAGCAGCACUUGAAAAACUGUUUUCUGGGCCUAAUGCAGCAAACAACAAGAAAAAGAAGAUUCUUCCUCAGACUAAAGGGGUUGUCAAUACAGCUGUUUCUGCAGCAGUCCAGGCUGUUCGAGGCAGAGGACGAGGUGCUUUAACACGAGGGGCGUUCGUUGGGGCAGCUGCUGCUACUGGAUACAUAACGCCAGGCUACGGAGCACCAUAUGGCUAUAGCACAGCUGCGCCAGCUUACGCCAUAUGCACUUGUAUAAAAUAAGCAGAAAUGUAGUGACUGUAAGCUGAGAUCGUGAUAUAAAAGGUGCAGUCGAUGAGCCAUCAGAAUGUCCUUCCCAUUCGGUGGUGCAGAUUUUCAUCUGCUGUUAUCUUCAAGGUGCAAACGUGGGGCUCGGUCUGAAGCUCACUUAAAAUUCAAUGCAUUCUUUCAGCCUGUCAGGCUACGCAGUCCUGAUAGCAGAGCAGCAGGCUGCUCUCGUUCCUUGGAAGACAGUAUUUUAUAUGCGCCAAGGCAAUGUUAAGGGGCAUUAUAAUGAACUUCUCAUGAGUAUUCCUUUCCUAGGCUUACCCAAUGUCAGUCUGACAAGCACUGUCCAGUUCAAGGACUGAUUAAUAAAAUGUCUUGCUGACUCUUACUUGAUCUGUUUCUUUGUGGCCUGUACUUGGCAGCUUAAUCCGUUUGUAUUGGUUUCCUUCAGAACUGCUUUGAUGUGAAUUUCCAUAUUUUUCUGUCAUUGCCCUUUUAACUCUUACAAUCCUAAGCAUUCCACUCUUCCACUUUUUUUAAGUUCUCACUUUGUUGGAUCUUCUCUUUUUCACUGAAAAGAUACUAGAUUUCUCUAGCACAUUGGUGUUCGUAAUGCAAGCACUGAUGUCCAAAAUUUGUCCGCUCACCUUUGCUGCACCCUUUCUCAGUAGGAUAGACACCAUUUCCUGACAUGCAAAAUACACAGUGUACUGAAGACUCCUAAAUCCUGAGGUCUGCAGCCACCUGGAAUCAGUGAUAAGCUCCUAAGGUGCGAGACUGCCUAGGAGCCUGUCUCAUCAACAGUGGGACUUGAGCAAAACAUUCCCCUGUACUGAAGUGUCACAGAUGUAGGCUCCUUAAGUGUCUAAUAUAUUGAUAUCUGAGAGCAGUUAAAUUCUAACCGUAGGUUUUAACCUAACUGAAAUACCAGGCUGUUAUCUGAUGAGUAAUUUGGGUAACAUCUGCUUGAUCAAUGUUGCAACAAGCACUGUUUUCCUAAGACGGAACUAGAAACUCCUUUCUUUUGCAUAAUACUUGCAGGUUUCCUUUUAAAAGCCUCCUCACAGGAGCAUGGUCUGAAGUGCCUUUUCUGUGAGAUUAGAGGUCUGCUUUACAGCUGCUGAGCUUUGUACUUCAGAUAUACCCAACAGCCAAAUAUGUAAACCUGGUUUCAUAUGCUUUGUGCAGCUGCUAGGAUCAUUGCCUAUUUUGUAGUACCUUUUCGGUGAAGCAGAACUGUUACAGUUUGAAGUUCUGGUUCAUGGAAAAGAAUUCUGAAAAUGUUCCUUUCAAUUAGUACCUGUAUCAAUAGGAUACCAGGGAAAGUCCGUGCCCGUAUGCUACCCACCUUAACUCUAGUUUUAGCUAACCAGAUGAUAGUGUGUAUUUUGGGAGAUGGUGUCCAGCGCUUAAAGGAUUAAAAGAAGCCAGAGCGUUAUCAUAAAGAAUCGACCUGUUUAAUGUGUUAUCUGUAUUGGAGGCAAUGGUACUGCUAUUGGCUUUGGAACGACAACACUGAGCUUCAGUGGUCUGCUCAGUUACCACUGAGGAAAGUGAGGCUAUUUAGAGAGCGGGGAUAAAACAGGACCGUUCCAACGUUACAACAGCAUUUGUUUGCCUUUAGCUGCUCUUGCGUACAAACACAUCAUCAGGCAGGUACUUGCUUUCCCUUUCUACCAGUUUGGGUUUCAUGGGACCGCAUGAGGGAGGAAUGUCUGUAUAACAAGCCUGUUGCACUGGCUGACUGGCGUCAGCACAGUGCUUCUCUCCAGCCCAUCUCCCCAUCAGAGAAUUUAAUCCCCGUUGACUUCUUACACAGUUGUAGCACUGGUGUAAGAGCAGCAUUGAUAUGAUCUUGCUAUGAGGUCAUACAUUCUAGAAGCAGUGUGUUCCUUUGUUUUGAAACAGGUGAAAACUAGACAGAAGUAUUUUUUUAGAGAUUUGUUAGCACAUGACUUCAGGAGACAGCUGGUGUUAUCAUACAUAUGAUACAAAUCAGCUGGUAGCUCCUUUCCAAAAGUGCAUAGCUCUGCAAGGAGCUGGCACCUCCAUUUCACCAGCUGCAAUGGUCAAACAACUCGAGUUUUAAACAGCAGUCUUUACAGAUGGAAACCCUUAAGUACUGUGUACUGCUAUCCAUACCUCAACAUUUUUCCUCCUGAUGGGUGAGUGGCAGCUGGAAUGCCUGUCAUUUUCCCAGAUAUACAACUGUGAAUUUUGAAGAAUUUUGAAGGUAUUCGAUAAAGUAGGACUUCAGUCCUACUUUGCCAGCCAUACGAGUUUUCUCCAGGAACGCUCUAUCUAGAGACAGUUUUAAGGCAACCAGAUUGGUUUGGAGGGCUUGGCUAGCUGAAAGCAUGGCGCAUGAUGCUUCCUGCCAUCGUGUCCUUUCUCUGCCAGUGCCUGCUGUCUUCCUUAAGCACACAUUCAGGAGCUGGAACACGAUGACCUUACUCCUGGGCACUGUGCCACAUGGAUGGAGGGAGGCCAGCCUAUACUCAUGAAGGGAAUGUGUAACACGCGGCCUCUGUUGCCCGAGGAAUUUCUGUUGGACACAGUGCACAAUCCAAGCCUCACAAAGGCAAUUUAGUGCCUGGGUAGGUGGUUCCUAAUCUGUCUAAUUUGCUGUCAUGUAGCCAAUGUGAGUUAAUUAGAUGAUUCAGCAAUUGUCAUGGCUCCCACUUAAUGUGCUACAAACCCUGCUGCUGUGACUUUCACUGCAGUUAAAUACCUUUGCUUCUGUGAAUUCUGUCUUUCCCUGCCUUUUCUGAUCACCUUCUAGCAUCCCAGUAGUAACUGAUUCUCUCAAGUUAUGGAAUUGUUACAUAGAAGUUUCUAGAUUCUUCAGAACUUUUUAUCAGCCUAUGAAGAGCUUCAGAGAAACAAGUUUUCCUACAAAUAUUUCAACGUAUUCAUGUGCCAAGGGAGUAUUUCUACUCAUUUACAAAGAUCUGUGAAAAUAACUCUGGUGUCUCUGAUCUCUGGAGACUAGGAUUCUUUGAGACCAGUUGCCUUCUGGUUGGAAAAAAUAUUUAAAGUGUGUCUUAAUAAAAGACUAUGCCCUCUAGCCACCGAAAGAACUUAACGGGAAAAAUCCACAAAUCUAAAAUUAUUCGAGGCUUUUUGAUUUCACUGAACUAUUGAGCAAAAUUUCCCUGACCACAAGUUCCUUGCAUUACUAGGAAGUAAAAAAUGAAGGAAGAGUGGCAUAAAGAUUUUUCAAGUGGUCUAGGAAAAAGGCCUCCUGUUUGUUGGCUGUUCUACUGUGGAACAUCUAUCUCUUGGCACUUCUAAAACUCCAAGAAGCAAUAAAUCUGACCAGCUUUAGCAUACACCCCUGAGCCAGUCCCAGCAAUGUCCUUUGAGAGUGAGCCUGGCAGUCCCUGCCUUUUCAGUCACUGAUCCCCUGAAACAGUGUCCCUUGCUUCACUGGUAAUUCUGCAGCUGCACUUCUGAGAGCCCGUAGGCUAUCACAGUCUAGAGGUGGGAUUCCUGAACAUCUCUCCAGAACUGUAUAAAUGAAGAGCAAGAAGACAAUAUAGUAUUUCAGUCUUUACUCAGACAAAAUGCAAGUUUCCCUCUGCCUCUUUUGCUUGCUAGGCUAAGAUACGAUCAUUUGGUUUUAGAAAUCGCUGCCUUUAGUAGCUAAAUUCCCUGUAGACAGUUGCCUGUUACUUAAUCAAGGGAAAAGUAUGUCCCAGCCUCAGAUGAGUUCCAAGUCACAGCAGCAGCUUACAAAAACAGCUACUAUUUCCGGUGGCUCUGGGAAACAGCACAGGAACUCUGCUGCAGUAGAUUCUUUUGGAUACAUUAUGAGAUACGUAAAUAUGAAGUUCAGAUUGCUGUCCUCAGUUGUGAAGCUGACUAAGGCCUCUCCUGUCUGACAUCAAAAGAAUGAAAACGAGCUCUCAGCUGGACUCACUGAGGAGUUCUGUUAAGAACGGUUGUGCUGUCUUAAAAAACUGUAACUCAGCUGCAAUGUUCAGGGGACAGACCCUCCCAGGCUUCCUGCUGAAUCAAUCUAUUGAAAAAUGAGAUACUUUAUUGACUUACUUAAAGCAAAGCAGAGGGAUAUUGUAGUUCCAUCCUCUAUCUACAGUAUAUGAGGCAGCUUGUCUGACAGCUCAUUGGUUUCAUUCUUUUGUUUUGGCACAUCUAGUUUGCUGUGAAUCUGAUCCUUACUGUGAAGUGGAAAUUGUGUUAUGGUCAUUUUAGAGCAAUUCACUGCAGAAGCUCGGCACUGAAGUCCUAUGCCUAUGGAUUGUGGCAGCAGUUUUCACUUGUACUUUCUUUAGAACAUUAACCUCUUAAGCUAGUCAUUAAGCAUUUGACAUAAAAGAAUUGUCAUCACGAAGCUUUUUUAUUACUUAACCCCAGAAGUUAUGUCUCUCUAGCUUUAUUUGCGUCAUCUAAAUCCACACCUAUUUAUGUCCAGGUUUUCUAGUGCUCUUGAAACAUCUUCCUUUUUCCCAUUCUGCUGAAGGAAAUGGGACUGAUUCAGCUGUUCGUGUGUCACUGAUGUUUAAGAUAAUACAGAAGCAUGAGCAAGACACAUAUGCUUGUUCCUCUAGUCUGGGGUCUUCUAGGAGAAAGGGUGCUUUUUCUAUUCGGCCUGUCUGAUACUGUGUAGGCAAUGCAAUGCCUUACUAAAAGUAGCUGUGUGAGUAUUGUAAGAAGUUCAUCAUAGUAUAAGAUUUAAAUCCAGUAAAGUGGUUUUUUUUUCUCCAGUUCCUGUGGCUGCAUGAGACAUUCAGGCGACGUGUUUACCCUAACGUUUAAGAGGAGUUGAAUGUCCAAAAGUGGUACAUGGAAAUGUGCAGUUCUAAAGCAAAUUUCUUGUUUUGGAUAUUGUUUUUAUCUUGUAUUUGGUGCCUUAACUCUGUACAAUCUAAAGUCAUAUAUACUGUACCACGGGCAGUUCAAUAGUUAAGUGUACUUUAAAAGAACCCAUCAAGCCUGGUCUACAGAAACUGUUGAAAAGACUAAAGCCUUCUCAGUGGGAGAGUUCUCUUCACAUGUUUAAUUAAUAUUCCAUUGAUAAACAAGAGUUGCAAGAAUUAAAGAGCAUAUAAAAAUUUUAACCACAGACUGAGACUGAAUUUAUCUGAUUUCCAGCUUGAAAGGUUUGUGGCAAUAAAACUAUUAAAGGUACAGUCUCUUCUAUGCUGUGUAAGUAAACAACGUCAAAACAUUUUAUAGCUAACCAGAGUGCAUGUUUGUGAAAACCUCUGGACUGUUAUCUCUACUAGAACAAAUUACACUAAUUCUAAAAGGCACUAAUGGAAUGUAAUUGGCCACCCUUCGUUCGUUGGUACAGGGGAGUUGGAACGAUAAGAGUUGCAAUUAAGUUUUAAUUCCAAAAUAGCAUGUGGACUUAAGCCUCGUUCCUGCCUCUUACCUAGAUCUAGAAGCUCCAGGUGCCUUAUGCGGCUUUGCAGCUCACGAGGUGUAGCACAGCUUCUGCUUGAACACACGCUUGCUGGAUGCAUCUGGUCCUGGUAGAAUGGACUGAGGCAAGAGAGAGAGAGAAAAGAAAGAAAUGAAGCUUAGAAUGCCCUUCUUCAGUCUUAAGGGUUGAGCAUCACAGAUAAAAGAGGUUGGAGGGAAAGUUGCACUGCCUUUUCCAAGUCCAUUAAUAAAGUCUGUGGUAAAACCAGGAGGUUUAUGUCUACCGUGGUAAACCAGCAGCUUUUGUGUACUAAGAGCAGGGGGGGUGGUAUUGUUUUUUAAUAGUUUAUAAGAAAUUAGAUAAGAGGUUUAAGCUAUCCAUAUAGCAGGCUAAGAGCUGCUAGUGAUGUUGCCACAGGAGAUGAAUUUUUUCUGCUGUUCAGUAAACAAGUCGAGGAUGGAAGGUUUUCCAGAGGAGGGAGAGGAACAGGGGAAAUCCAAUUAACAAAUUCUGUCUCCUGAUGCAGCCCUAUCCAAAACAGGGAGACUGCUCCAGGCAGUGUAUAUGGCAUGCAACUGAAUUUGGGGAGGGAAGGGAAUACUGAUAACUUAUUUCUACAAUGCCCACAGUUUUCUAGACAACUUGCUUUUACACAGAACAGCAUGGCAACAAGGGAAAGCAGAUACUGCUUCCACAGCUACAUGUUGUAAUGUACAUAUUUCAGGUCACCAAUAUUGGUGUAACUAGUUAUGACAAAGUAGGUUCAUCUUGCCAGAAAAGCAUAUUCUGACAUUCUAUCCACUUUUGUUUUUUUAAGCUAGAGGGGAGUUAAUUAUAGCACUCAUCUGUUUCAAAGGGAGUAGAGCAGAAGGUCGACAACGUCUCUAUGAAGCAAUUCUGUUCUCUCAAGCCUCUGCAGGGGCCAGCAACUGGUGCUUAACUACUACUUCCACUGCAGAAUGUCACACGUCCUCCAGCUGUCCCAGAGCCAUUCUGGGACACUUGCACUUCUAAGAGAGCAACACUGCUGUGGGGGGACUGUCAAAAGCACUGAAAUACUACAACAGAGCAAGUCCCAGUGGGCUGUAUGCUUUUUAAAGUCCUGUCCAGUUCUCAGUGACAAAGUUGAGCAUGAAACCUGUACUGCCAAACGUACCAGCCCCUUAGUGAGAAGGACAGCUGUGGGAAGCAGUCUCGGAAGUGGAGAUUUUGAGGAAAAGCUGGUAUUUUCCAAGUCCAACUCAUAAGCUUUUUUUUUUCCCCCAAUGGUUGAGUUUCCACCCACCAAAAAUCACCAUCAGUCAAAUCAAUUAAAAGAAUUGCUACUAAUUUGGCUAAAACAUCCCCCUUGUAUAACCCAAACUACCACUACCCGUCCACCUAAAGACUUCUUAAGCAAAGAAUCCUCAUGAGGCAGAGCCCUGCUAAGAGUCUGCACAGUAAAAGGCAGACAGGAAAUCUGGCAGCACAGUAUAAUGUGAUGUUUCUAAUGACAAUUACUUCUACAAGAAAAGGAAAAGACAGAGGUAGUGCUUUGGGACAGUGUUUCAUGCUCAGCAAGUUUGUAGAGGGAAGGAAUGCAAUUCUAUAAAUCACUUGUACUGUAUUUCUGUUUCUAGACUUGAAUGAAUUUCACUUUUCCUUUGUGGGUCAGCAUAGUAAACAUUAAAGAAAGGUCUAUUUUUCUAAAUCUCUUUCACCAAUAGAGGUCUGACCUGCAGCCAACAGAUGGAUUUAUUUAUCCACAGAGGACAGAGUGUUUAUUUUUACACUAAGAUUGGAUAUGGCAUUGAAUAAAAAGUAUGACCUUUGAACUAUCUAAACUUUAAAUACUAUGAACAAAUUCCGCAGAUGACUAAUAUGGUGGACAAUUCCAUCUUUCUUCCCAACAAAUCUCUCUCUCAAAAGAAGUUACCCAGAAUCAAACUUCCAAAUGAAAUACCACAGAUCCUUGUGGUCUAAUUACAGACUACUUUCAAACUAUUUAAGAUUUCUCCCAAUCUGUAGUCUGUAGAGAACAAUGAUGUUAAGCUAUUCCUGACUAUACUGCAAAUAAAGCAACUUCAAAUGAAGUAAUUCGGUAACAAUCUUAGCUAUUUAUAGCAUUAAAAACGUAAACUGAACAUUCAAAUUGUCUUAAUUUGGUAGCAGUUGAGUGGGAAGAAAAAUAACUGCACACUGAAUUUUAAAUUGAGCUGUAUCUACUUACUAGCCAAAAAAGCCUGCAAAUGUAAAGUAAAUGGAAUGCUCUUUGUAUAUUAAGUUGCUUCCUCACGUGAUGCUGUACCCUGUACACUUGGCUUCAUUUGGCUUCUGUGUUGUGGUUUGUACGCCAGCCACUGUUAUUAACUGUACACCACACUUAGACCUGCACUGUAAUCUUGGUUCAUUUGCCACUGAUUGUAACCCAAUGCUUACAGACUUCUCUGUAUAUAAAACCAUAACAAUGUCCCAUUUGCUUCCAAUAGCAUACAAUAAAGGCUUAUCUCUGUAAACAGGAA